rnacentral:tRNA from 1 species
GCCGCGAUAGCUCAGCCUGGUUAGAGCGCAGGCCUGUGGAGCCUGAGACCCGGGUUCGAAUCCCGGUCGCGGCC